rnacentral:rRNA from 1 species
GAGUUUGAUCGUGGCUCAGGAUAAACGCUGGCGGCGUGCUUAACACAUGCAAGUCGAACGAAGUUUUUCUUUCGGGAGGAACUUAGUGGCGGACGGGUGAGUAACGCGUGGGUAACCUGCCCUGUACAGGGGGACAACAGCUGGAAACGGCUGCUAAUACCGCAUAAGCCCUUAGCACUGCAUGGUGCAUAGGGAAAAGGAGUAAUCCGGUACAGGAUGGACCCGCGUCUGAUUAGCCAGUUGGCAGGGUAACGGCCUACCAAAGCGACGAUCAGUAGCCGAUCUGAGAGGAUGUACGGCCACAUUGGGACUGAGACACGGCCCAGACUCCUACGGGAGGCAGCAGUGGGGAAUAUUGCACAAUGGAGGAAACUCUGAUGCAGCGACGCCGCGUGAGUGAAGAAGUAUUUCGGUAUGUAAAGCUCUAUCAGCAGGGAAGAAAAUGACGGUACCUGACUAAGAAGCACCGGCUAAAUACGUGCCAGCCGCCGCCGUAAC